rnacentral:rRNA from 1 species
UUAAACGGAGCACGGGAGCAACCCUGGUGGUUAGUGGCGAACGGGUGAGUAAUAUAUCGGAACGUGCCCAGUCGCUCGGGGGAUAACUGCAGCGAAAGCUGUGCUAAUACCGCAUACGAUCUACGGAUGAAAGCGGGGGAUCGCAAGACCUCGCGCGAUUGGAGCGGCCGAUAUCAGAUUAGCUAGUUGGUGGGGUAAAGGCCCACCAAGGCGACGAUCUGUAGCUGGUCUGAGAGGACGACCAGCCACACUGGAACUGAGACACGGUCCAGACUCCUACGGGAGGCAGCAGUGGGGAAUUUUGGACAAUGGGCGCAAGCCUGAUCCAGCAAUGCCGCGUGCAGGAUGAAGGCCUUCGGGUUGUAAACUGCUUUUGUACAGAGCGAAACGGCUCUUUCUAAUACAAGGGGCUAAUGACGGUACUGUAAGAAUAAGCACCGGCUAACUACGUGCCAGCAGCCGCGGUAAUACGUAGGGUGCGAGCGUUAAUCGGAAUUACUGGGCGUAAAGCGUGCGCAGGCGGUUAUGUAAGACACGAUGUGAAAUCCCCGGGCUCAACCUGGGACCUGCAUUUGUGACUGCAUAGCUAGAGUACGGAAGAGGGGGAUGGAAAAAU